rnacentral:lncRNA from 1 species
GAAAAAGGUAGGUGGUUGGAUGUGGAUGAGGAAGGAGAAGUUUUGGAGCUUAGGUUGAUCAUAACAAGUCAUUGUACCGACAAAUUAUUACCCUUGACCAAUGGAUAACACCUUGCCAUUCCACGGCUUUCAAGAUUCACGAGUUGGUUUCCUAUUUGCCGGGGCUUAUGUAAAUCCUCUCUUACAAUAUGGAACACCAUCGCUU